CUGAUUUAGCGGUUUAUUCACAUCAAAUAGGUUUUCAGUCUAUUGUGCCAGAAAUUGGG
rnacentral:tRNA from 1 species